UUUCCUACGGGACGCAGCAGUGGGGAAUAUUGGGCAAUGGGCGCAAGCCUGACCCAGCAACGCCGCGUGAAGGAAGAAGGCUUUCGGGUUGUAAACUUCUUUUAAGGGGGAAGAGCAGAAGACGGUACCCCUUGAAUAAGCCACGGCUAACUACGUGCCAGCAGCCGCGGUAAUACGUAGGUGGCAAGCGUCGUCCGGAUUUACUGGGUGUAAAGGGCGUGCAGCCGGAGAGACAAGUCAGAUGUGAAAUCCACGGGCUCAACCCGUGAACUGCAUUUGAAACUGUUUCACUUGAGUGUCGGAGG
rnacentral:rRNA from 1 species